GGAUCCUUCUGCUUCUAGUCUCCAGUUGACCAUUGGGUCUCGGAAUCAGAAAAAUAAGAAAUGGCAGACAAUGGGGGGGACUACUGCAUACCUAACACAGGCCUCUAAGAACAAAUGCCAGCAACUAAACUCUUCCUUGAAUUGAACAGACCAGAAGCUCCAAAGAGUAACAUCCCUGGGAGUAGUUCUCAUCAGUGCUUUCCAAGCAUUAGGACAGUAAUGCAGUAUAAUAUACAUAUGACAUUCACGGAAGUGUCCAGAUUGAUAAAUAUUCAGAAAUUGAUGAUUCUCGUGUAAAAAGUCACUGAGACCAAGCGAUAGAUAUUACCAUCACCCACAGAGGUUCCCGGGUGUCCUUCCAGACCCUAUUCACCAAGAGGAUGUGCCAAAUCAAUAAUGAUUCGGGAUGAAGAUUUGCUAGAACACAAGCAGCUUUAACAGCCAGUCCGGUGCACCUCCCAACAGUCCCCAGAUAACUCAAUUUGAACAUUUAUCCAAGCCUGACUUCUAGAUCCCAUCCUAACAUAUAAUCUAAGAAACUUGGAAGCAAGAAGACAAUAAAACAAUGCCUUUAAGAUGCUACAGGAAGGUGUACCUGGGUGGCUCAGUCAUUACGUGUCUGCCUUUGACUCAGGUCAUGAUCCCAAGAUCCUGGGAUU